UGUCAUGCUGCCUCACCUUCAAUCCUGU
rnacentral:piRNA from 1 species